AUUGAACAAUGGCGGCAGGCCUAACCAAUGCAAGUCGAGCGAGCGGCGGACAGGUGAGUAAUGUAUGGGGACUGCCCGAUAGAGCGGGAGAACUACUGGAAACGGUGGCUAAUACCGCAUACUGUCGGCUAACCUAGAUGGGAUUAGCUAGUAGGUAAGGAAAUGGCUUACCUAGGCGACGAUCCCUAGCUUGUCUGAGAGGAUGAUCAGCCACACUGGGACUGAGACACGGCCCAGACUCCUCCGGAGGCAGCAGUGGGGAAUAUUGCACAAUGGGCGCAAGCCUGAUGCAGCCAUGCCGCGUGUAUGAAGAAGGCCCUAGGGUUGUAAAGUACUUUCAGUCGGGAGGCGUUACCGACAGAAGAAGCACCGGCUAACUCCGUGCCAGCAGCCGCGGUAAUUC
rnacentral:rRNA from 1 species